GAUGAACGCUGGCGGCGUGCCUAAUACAUGCAAGUCGAGCGAACAGACGAGGAUCUUGCUCCUCUGACGUUAGCGGCGGACGGGUGAGUAACACGUGUAAACCCUACCUAUAAGUCUGGGAACACUUCGGGACUCCGGAGCUAAUACCGGAUAAUAUAUUGAACCGUAUGGUUCGAUGGUGAAAUACGGUGUUGCUGGCACUAAUAGAUGGAUCCGCGCUGCAUUAGAUGGUUGGGAAGGUAACGGCUUAUCAAGGCAACUAUGCCUAGGCGACUUGAGGGAAUGAUCGGCCACAGUGGAAGUUGAACACGCACCAGAGUCCUACGAGAGGCACCAGUAGGGAAUCGGCCGCAGUAGGCGAGAGUCUGGCAGAACGGGGCGAAGUCAGUGAUGAAGGUCUUCAGAUCGUAAAACUCUGUUAUUAGGGAAGAACAGAUGUGUAAGGUACUGAGCACGUAUUGACGGUACCUAAUCAGAAAGCCACGGCUAACUACGUG
rnacentral:rRNA from 1 species